GACGAACGCUGGCGGCGUGCCUAAUACAUGCAAGUAGAACGCACAGUUUAUACCGUAGCUUGCUACACCAUAGACUGUGAGUUGCGAACGGGUGAGUAACGCGUAGGUAACCUGCCUGGUAGCGGGGGAUAACUAUUGGAAACGAUAGCUAAUACCGCAUAAUAUUGAUUAUUGCAUGAUAAUUGAUUGAAAGAUGCUAUUGCAUCACUACCAGAUGGACCUGCGUUGUAUUAGCUAGUAGGUGAGGUAACGGCUCACCUAGGCGACGAUACAUAGCCGACCUGAGAGGGUGAUCGGCCAACAUGGGACUGAGACACGGCCCAGAAUCCUACGGGAGGCAGCAGUAGGGAAUCUUCGGCAAUGGACGAAAGUCUGACCGAGCAACGCCGCGUGAGUGAAGAAGGUUGUCGGAUCGUAAAGCUCUGUUGUAAGAGAAGAAAGGGUGUGAGAGUGGAAAGUUCACACUGUGACGGUAUCUUACCAGAAAGGGACGGCUAACUACGUG
rnacentral:rRNA from 1 species